rnacentral:lncRNA from 1 species
AGUUUGUCAUUAACCAAAAUCAUUAUGCAGGUUGAUUCUAAAACCCAUUGAACAUAAUGAUCCAACGCCAUCUCCCAAUUUUGAAUUCCCUGUAUUCGAGGCAGAGGAAGAUGAUGUUGAAGGGGAUUCCUGAUGAGAUUACCCGACUUCUUGAGCACCAAAGGAGCUCAUUCAGCUGUAUCAUGAGAAUCGGCAAAACAGUCAAACUGGGGCAUUACAAAUGUAAUGAAAAGAAAAAGAGAGAGGGUGAAAAAAAAUAAGG